GAAAUGCGAUAAGUAAUGUGAAUUGCAGAAUUCCGUGAAUCAUCGAAUCUUUGAACGCACAUUGCGCCCUCUGGUAUUCCGGGGGGCAUGCCUGUUCGAGCGUCAUUGCAACCCCCUCAAGCACGGCUUGUGAGUUGGGCCAUCGUCCCUUUACUGUGGACGGGCCUGAAAUGCAGUGGCAGCACCGAGUCCUGGUGUCUGAGUGUAUGGGAAUCUCUAUCGCUCAAAGACCCAAUCGGCGCUGAUGUCAGAUAUUUAUUAUCCAGUUUGACCUCGGAUCAGGUAGGAGUACCCGCUGAACUUAA
rnacentral:misc_RNA from 1 species